UAGGGAAUCUUCCGCAAUGGACGAAAGUCUGACGGAGCAACGCCGCGUGAGUGAAGAAGGAUUUCGGUUCGUAAAACUCUGUUGUUAGGGAAGAAAAAAUGUAUAGUAACUAUAUACAAAAGAGACGGUACCUAACCAGAAAGCCACGGCUAACUACGUGCCAGCAGCCGCGGUAAUACGUAGGUGGCAAGCGUUGUCCGGAAUUAUUGGGCGUAAAGCGCGCGCAGGUGGUUUAGAAAGUCUGAUGUGAAAGCCCACGGCUCAACCGUGGAGGGUGAUUGGAAACUAAUAAACUUGAGUGCAGGAGAGAAAAGUGGAAUUCCUAGUGUAGCGGUGAAAUGCGUAGAGAUUAGGAGGAACACCGGUGGCGAAAGCGGCUUUUUGGCCUGCAACUGACACUGAGGCGCGAAAGCGUGGGGAGCAAACAGG
rnacentral:rRNA from 1 species